CCCUUUUCCAGCACUGCGGCUUCCUCAGCGCUACUAACCUCUCCACCUCCUGUGACAGAGGAGGCAUGGCCUGCUCUGUGAUGGUCCAGUCUAUUGUUUCUUAAAGUGUCAUUGGGCACGUCAUGUGCAAUGCACACUGUCAAGCUUCCCCAUAGGUAUUCAAUGCUUUACCUUGGGUUUAUGUAUCACGCGAUAAAAGUUUUACUCAGAGAAAGCAUUAGAAUCAUCUCUAGUGCUGGUCAGUAUGAUAGCCAUACUUUAAAUUAUAGGGUUAAGAGGACAGGAAAACAACAACAACAACAACUGAAUCACUCAAUUGAGAUUAAGUGUUCUAGGUAACUAUAAUGUUCUUUUAAAUAAGUUUUGUCUUUUUAUGCAGCCCUAGCCACACCUCUCAC